CUGCGCUCCCUCCGGUCCUUCCUCGCCCCGUACAACCCCCCGAAGGAAACGCUUCUCCCGCUCUGGGGUUCGCGUGUGAUGGAAGCGUUUGUGUGGUGGAGGGAUUGCCACGAAGGGAGGGGGGAGGAUGGAGACGCGCUGCAGUGUACGAGGCCAGAGGGGCAGUGAUUCGGUAUCAGAAUUAACGGUUUGGAGACGUAAACAUCUUGAAAGCCACGCCGAGAUUUAUGGCCACAACUUUGGCACGAAGGAUUCGGGAAGGGAGAAAAAAAAGGAGAAAGACAAAACAAUCUAAUUUAACAAUAUUUUCGUUUAGGGAAACAUUCCAACGCCUUAAUAAUCCCGUUUCCGUUCUGUAUGUUGAUGUUACUAAUCUCGAAUAAAAAUGUUCCCCUCACA